rnacentral:rRNA from 1 species
GACGAACGCUGGCGGCGUGCUUAACACAUGCAAGUCGAACGGUGAAGCGCCUUCCUUUUUGGUGGGUGUGGAUGAGUGGCGAACGGGUGAGUAACACGUGAGUAACCUGCCCCCUUCUUCUGGAUAACCGCAUGAAAGUGUGGCUAAUACUGGAUAUUCUGGGUCUGUCGCAUGAUGGGUCUGGGAAAGAUAUUGUUUCGGUGGGGGAUGGGCUCGCGGCCUAUCAGCUUGUUGGUGGGGUGAUGGCCUACCAAGGCGGUGACGGGUAGCCGGCCUGAGAGGGUGGACGGUCACACUGGGACUGAGACACGGCCCAGACUCCUACGGGAGGCAGCAGUGGGGAAUAUUGCACAAUGGGCGCAAGCCUGAUGCAGCGACGCCGCGGGAGGGAUGGAGGCCUUCGGGUUGUGAACCUCUUUCGCCAGUGAAGCAGGCCUGCCUCGUUUGUGGGUGGGUUGACGGUAGCUGGAGAAGAAGCGCCGGCUAACUACGUG